GUGUGACUGAUGUUUCAUAGGGGUAUAAUGUUCGCUUUGCACGUCUGUGAAGAUCUAAUCUGCGAAAGGUCAGGGGUUCGAUUCCCUUCGCCUCCA